rnacentral:lncRNA from 1 species
UCUUCACGCACGACACUUUUUAUGAAAUUUAAAUGAAGAAGGGAGGCCUUUGUUACAUAAGGGUGCUACUGAAGAAAUCCCUUCACACAUGACAUUCUCCAUGGAUUUAAAAUGAAGAAGAGAGGCUUCUGUCCUACAAGGGCACUUCUGAAUACUUCCUUUCAUGUAGGAUAUUCCCCUUGGAAUUAGAAUGAUAAAGGGAGGCUUAUGUUAUGUAAGGGCACUCCUGAAAACUUUUCUUCACGCAUAAUAUUCCUUGUGGAUUUGGAAUGAAUAAGGGAGGUUUCUGUCAUAUAAGGACACUUCCAACAACUUCUUUCAUGCAUGAAGGCUUCACUUAACAUGCAAUAUUUCCUGUGGAUUUGGAACGAAUAAGGGAGGCUUAUGUUAUACAAAGACACUCCCGAAGAC